GCCGGGAUGGCGGAAUUGGUAUACGCGUUGGACUCAAAAUCCAAUGAUGGCAACGUCGUGAGGGUUCGACUCCCUCUCCCGGCA
rnacentral:tRNA from 1 species